GAGUUUGAUCCUGGCUCAGAUUGAACGCUGGCGGAUGCUUUACACAUGCAAGUCGGACGGCAGCAUAAAAGAGCUUGCUCUUUUGAUGGCGAGUGGCGAACGGGUGAGUAAUGCAUCGGAACGUACCGAGUAGUGGGGGAUAACUGUCCGAAAGGAUGGCUAAUACCGCAUAUUCUCUGAGGAGGAAAGCAGGGGACCUUAGGGCCUUGCGCUAUUUGAGCGGCCGAUGUCUGAUUAGCUAGUUGGUGGGGUAAGAGCCCACCAAGGCGACGAUCAGUAGCGGGUCUGAGAGGAUGAUCCGCCACACUGGGACUGAGACACGGCCCAGACUCCUACGGGAGGCAGCAGUGGGGAAUUUUGGACAAUGGGCGCAAGCCUGAUCCAGCCAUGCCGCGUGUAUGAAGAAGGCCUUCGGGUUGUAAAGUACUUUUGUCAGGGAAGAAAAGCCUGAGGAUAACACCCUCAGGUCAUGACGGUACCUGAAGAAUAAGCACCGGCUAACUACGUGCCAGCAGCCGCGGUAAUACGUAGGGUGCGAGCGUUAAUCGGAAUUACUGGGCGUAAAGCGAGCGCAGACGGUUAUUUAAGCAAGAUGUGAAAGCCCCGGGCUCAACCUGGGAACUGCGUUUUGAACUGGGUAACUAGAGUGU
rnacentral:rRNA from 1 species